UUCACGCAAGUGCCCGAACUGUCUGAGCAAGAGCCCUGCAAAACAAAACUUGCAUUGUUUACACUCUGUGAAAGCAAUCAACACAGACUGCAUGCAGACAUGCAUCACGUCACUGGCAUAAGAUCAUUUCCAUGACAUAUCUCUCAGGUUGUCUGUUGGAGCCAAAUGGAACUACAUAGAUCCAAGUGGAGCAGGUGAGAUGGACAUCUCUGGUUAAACACCCUGACAUGGAGCUGUCUGUCUGUUACAUCAUUCAAACUUGGACCCGGAUCAGUGGAAAUCAUCAAGUUGAACAUCUGACGUCUGGAAUCAGCUUAGAUUUAGACACAAAAGCUGUUAUCACAUAGCAACAGGAGUAGAGUCAACAAUACAGGUGGUGUUAUCACAUGGCAACAGUAGGAGUAGAGUCAACAAUGCAGGGGGUGUUAUCACAUGGCAACAGUAGGAGUAGAGUCAACAAUACAGGAGGUGUUAUCACAUGGCAACAGUAGGAGUAGAGUCAACAAUACAGGGGGUGUUAUCACAUGGCAACAGUAGGAGUAGAGUCAACAAUACAGGUGGUGUUAUCACAUGGCAACAGUAGGAGUAGAGUCAACAAUACAGGGGGUGUUAUCACAUGGCAACAGUAGGAGUAGAGUCAACAAUACAGGGGGUGUUAUCACAUGGCAACAGUAGGAGAAGAGUCAACAAUACAGGGGGUGUUAUCACAUGGCAACAGUAGGAGUAGAGUCAACAAUACAGGGGGUGUUAUCACAUGGCAACAGUAGGAGUAGAGUCAACAAUACAGGAGGUGUUAUCACAUGGCAACAGUAGGAGUAGAGUCAACAAUACAGGUGGUGUUAUCACAUAGCAACAGGAGUAGA